GACGAACGCUGGCGGCGUGCUUAACACAUGCAAGUGGAGCGACGAACCAGGGCUUGCCCUGGGGCAGAGCCGCGAACGGGUGAGUAACACGUGGGUAACGUACCCCGAUGACUGGGGACAACCCGGGGAAACCCGGGCUAAUACCGGAUGUCCACCCUCACAUCAGUGAGGUGUGUAAAGGAGCUUCGGCCUCCGCGUUGGGAUCGGCCCGCGGCGCAUUUAGCUUGUUGGUGAGGUAACGGCNCACCAAGGCCGCGAUGCGUAGCUGGUCUGAGAGGACGAUCAGCCACACUGGGACUGAGACACGGCCCAGACUCCUACGGGAGGCAGCAGUGGGGAAUCUUGCGCAAUGCGCGAAAGCGUGACGCAGCAACGCCGCGUGGGGGAAGAAGG
rnacentral:rRNA from 1 species